AUUGAACGCUGGCGGCAGGCCUAACACAUGCAAGUCGAGCGGAUGAGUGGAGCUUGCUCCAUGAUUCAGCGGCGGACGGGUGAGUAAUGCCUAGGAAUCUGCCUGGUAGUGGGGGACAACGUUUCGAAAGGAACGCUAAUACCGCAUACGUCCUACGGGAGAAAGUGGGGGAUCUUCGGACCUCACGCUAUCAGAUGAGCCUAGGUCGGAUUAGCUAGUUGGUGAGGUAAAGGCUUACCAAGGCGACGAUCCGUAACUGGUCUGAGAGGAUGAUCAGUCACACUGGAACUGGGACACGGUCCAGACUCCUACGGGAGGCAGCAGUGGGGAAUAUUGGACAAUGGGCGAAAGCCUGAUCCAGCCAUGCCGCGUGUGUGAAGAAGGUCUUCGGAUUGUAAAGCACUUUAAGUUGGGAGGAAGGGCAGUAAGUUAAUACCUUGCUGUUUUGACGUUACCAACAGAAUAAGCACCGGCUAACUUCGUGCCAGCCGCCGCGGUAAAAC
rnacentral:rRNA from 1 species